UGUCUUCAGUUCAAUCCAUAUAUGCUGGCUAUUAAAUUUUGUGCUUGAUGCAUUUUAUAAGAGUAUUUAAGGUGAUGAUAAUAAAACCAGAUUGUACAAAUGGUAUAUUCUUUGAAGGAAUUUUGAUUUACUCCUCUGCUCCUCGUACCUCUAAUUGCUUUUUUCAGGCAAUACUCCUCGGAGCAAUGAGGCUGCAAGAAAAGCACACAAAAUAAGGACAUGAGUUCAUUUCUUUAAGAUGAAAAAGUGAAGCCUUGCCAUCUUAGCUCAUCAAUAUACUAUGGAGGACAAGAUGUCUAUUCGCAUCCACCCAAUAGCCAGAGGAGCAGCUCUACCAAUACAACUGUGAGUUCAUUCUCAUAUAUGAGAAUAAAUUGAACAAUGUCAUAACAGCAUCUCAGACAUAUAUAUAUAUUGCUAUAAUUAAGUUCUAAGAUGGUUUAUGAAGUGACUAGUUUAGUCCUCAAUAUCUUAACAAAAGAAUAUACUUGACAUGGUUACAUAUACUCUUCUAGGUAUUUGAAGGUAUUGGUUAGUAUACUCAUCUGUCACUUGUCCUGAGGAGAGCUUUUGGUCUUCUGCCUUUCUUGUUUCCCCUAUGUUUUUCCUACUAUUAUAACUUCAACCACUAAAGGCUUUUGUUUCCUUUAUUUUAAUUUCCUUUUAAUCAUUAAUGUCUAAGUUAUAUGCAUUUCAGCUACGUCAAUUUGAGUGAUGAAUUUUUGCCCUGCUUGUUUGGGAGCAUGGUUUUUCUGGAAUACAGGAGUUUGGACCUUCAUUAACAAUGACACAUGAUUUCACUCUUACCACAUUUUUUUGUGCUGAGAAGAUUUAACAAGUUAGAAAGCUAAGGCGACUAUUGUAAAGUGAUGUGCCCCUAACUAUUAUCAUCCUCGUCUCGACCUUCAAAUUUCCAGCGCACUGAUGCAUUAUAAUCAUGUUGAGCUUCAUAUCUGUCUUAUGGCAGGAAGUUAUAAAUACAGGGAAGCUUUCCCCCCUCCUCCGCUAAGAGAUGGAUGUAUUAUUAAUAGUAAUAGCCAAAUAUGACUGCUUGCUGGUUACACUUAUAUCAUACUUAUUAUGUGUUGUUGUAGUCAUCACUCUUUCUUAUCCUUACACUUAUUAUAAAAGACUAUAGAGACAAUGCAUUUACGUUAAACUGUAAAGUUGGUUGGUUUAGGAACCAGAUUACUACUUAUUAAAUUGUGGACUUGACUAAUUUUAGGCAUUUUCCUUAUGCAGGUUCUCCUUCUUGUUCUUGUUUCUGUACGUAUCACUUCUUUUGAAAGUGUCAAUUCUAUCAUGCUUUGGAAUCGGCCUUGAACUUUAAUCAUUUCAUUGCUAAUGAAAUUUAAGAUUCUGAAAGGAAGACUCAUUCCUUAAUACCGACCAACUAAACCUUUUCUGUAAGUCAAGUCCAAAUGCAUAAUAGCAGUGGAAAGGACUCUAAUAUCUAAAUUUUCUUGAGAGCCUCGCACCAACUUACUUCACCUAUGUGACAAAAAAUAGUUGAUUCUACGUCCGAGUAAAGGAAAAAUGUCGCAAUAGGAUGAAGGUCGCAAUAGGAUGACG
rnacentral:lncRNA from 1 species